rnacentral:rRNA from 1 species
CUGAAUUUAAGCAUAUUAAUAAGCGGAGGAAAAGAAACUAACCAGGAUUCCCCUAGUAACGGCGAGUGAAGCGGGAAUAGCCCAGCACCGAAUCGCACGCCGUCAGGCGUCGCGAACUGUGGUGUUUAGGACGAGCGCAUGUACGUCGGAGCGGCGUCCGAGUCCUCCUGAUUGGGGCUUUGCCAUAGCGGGUGUCAGCCCUCUACGGCGCCGCGACGACGUGCCCGCCACGUCCUCGGAGUCGGGUUGUUUGAGAAUGCAGCCCAAAGCUGGUGGUAAACUCCAUCUAAGGCUAAAUACAGACACGAGUCCGAUAGCGAACAAGUCCGUGAGGGAAAGUUGAAAAGAACUUUGAAGGAGAGAUAGCACUUCCGUUUAGAGGCAAACGGAGAGGACCGCAAAGUCCGUGCGUCGGAUUCAAUUCGUCGGCCGUGCGGCGGCCGCAUCGUGACAUCCGCAAGGAGUCCGGUGCGGACGUGGGCGUGCGGCGACGGGUGCACUUUCGGCGCACGGAGCGCCACGACCGGUUCGUCGGCGGUCAGAAGCCCCCGCGGAAGGUGACCGCGCUCGCAAGAGUGCGGUGUUACAGACGCGGGUGGCGUUGGCCCGUCGGCGGACCGAGGCAGACACGAACGCGGCCCCGGGCGGCCGCCGUCGAUCCGAUCGUCCGUUCGAAUUGCGGGGACUGUCGUCAGUGCCCGCAGACCGCGGAUGGUCGGCGUCGGCGGUGCGUCGCACGGGGCUCGGG